AACGAACGCUGGCGGCAUGCCUAACACAUGCAAGUCGAACGAAACCUCCGGGUCUUGUGGCGCACGGCUGCGUCACGCGUGGGAACCUGCCCUUAGGUUCGGCCUACCUCCCCGAAAGGGGUGCUAAUACCAGAUAAUGUCUUCGGACCAAAGAUUUAUCGCCUUUGGAUGGGCCCGCGUUGGAUUCGCUUGUGGGUAGGGUAAAAGCCUACCAAGGCGACGAUCCAUAGCUGGUCUGAGAGGAGGAUAAGCCACACUGGGACUGAGACACGGCCCAGAAUCCUACGCGAGGGAGGAGUGGGGAAUAUUGGACCAGGGGGGAAGGGAUGAUGCAGCACGGCCGGGUGAGUGAUGAAGGCCGUAGGGUUGUAAAGCUCUUGUACCCGGGAUGAUAAUGACGGUACCGGGAGAAUAAGCGCCGGCUAACUACGUG
rnacentral:rRNA from 1 species